GGACCUACUAAGGAAAAUGGCAUUGGAAACACUAAAGACCUACCCGGAUAACAGUAUAUGGCAUCGGCCGGGUAGGUCUUUAGUGUUUCCAAUGCCAUUUUCCUUAGUAGGUCC
rnacentral:pre_miRNA from 1 species